rnacentral:rRNA from 1 species
UAAGGAAUAUUGGACAAUGCUCGCAAGAGUGAUCCAGCCAUGCCGCGUGCAGGAAGACGGCCCUAUGGGUUGUAAACUGCUUUUGAACUAGAGAAAACCCCCCUUCGUGAAGGGGGCUGAUAGUAUAGUUAGAAUAAGCAUCGGCUAACUUCGUGCCAGCAGCCGCGGUAAGACGAAGGAUGCAAGCGUUAUCCGGAUUCAUUGGGUUUAAAGGGAGCGUAGGUGGAUUUGUAAGUCAGUGGUGAAAGCCGGCAGCUUAACUGUCGAACUGCCAUUGAUACUGCGGAUCUUGAGUAUGGUUGCUGUGGGCGGAAUAUGACAUGUAGAGGUGAAAUUCAUAGAGAUGUCAUAGAACACCGAUUGCGAAGGCAGCUCACAAAGCCAUUACUGACACUGAGGCUCGAAAGUGCGGGGAUCAAACA